UACGGGGGGGGGCAAGCGUUGUUCGGAAUUACUGGGCGUAAAGGGCCUCGUGAGAUGUCAACUAAGUCAUACGUGAAAUCCCUCGGCUUAACCGGGGAACUGCGCCUGAUACUGGUUGACUUGAGUUUGGGAGAGGGACGCGGAAUUCCAGGUGUAGCGGUGAAAUGCGUAGAUAUCUGGAGGAACACCGGUGGCGAAGGCGGCGUCCUGGACCAAUACUGACACUGAGGAGCGAAAGCCAGGGGAGCAAACGGG
rnacentral:rRNA from 1 species